rnacentral:tRNA from 1 species
GCACCAUUAGCUCAGUUGGUAGAGCACCUGACUCUUAAUCAGGAUCCGAGCGUUGAGAAAACGUUCCGGCGGAACGUUUUUAGUGAG